AUGCAAGUCGAGCGAAGCUUUUCAGUAGUUUACUACAGAAAAUGACUGAGCGGCGAACGGGUGAGUAACGCGUGAGCAAUCUACCUUAGUUACAGGGAUAGCCCGAGGAAACUCGGAUUAAUACCUGAUAUUCUUUACAUUUCGCAUGAAAUCAAAAGGAAAGGUCAGCCGAACUAAGAUGAGCUCGCGUUCUAUCAGCUAGUUGGUGAGGUAAAAGCUCACCAAGGCAACGACGGAUAGCUGGUCUGAGAGGACGAUCAGCCACACUGGGACUGAGACACGGCCCAGACUCCUACGGGAGGCUGCAGCAGGGAAUAUUGCGCAAUGAGCGAAAGCUUGACGCAGCGACACCGCGUGUGGGAUGACGGAUCUAGGUUUGUAAACCACUUUCAGGAGGGAAGAAAAUGACGGUACCUCCACAAGAAGCCCCGGCCAACUACGUGCCAGCAGCCGCGGUAAUACGUANGGGGCGAGCGU
rnacentral:rRNA from 1 species